AGCCGGAUGUAUUUUAUAUUCGGUAACUUCUGCUCAAUGAUAUGUUAAAUAGCCGCAGUACCCUGACUGUGCAAAGGUAGCAUAAUCAAUUGGCUUAUAAUUGAAGUCUGGCAUGAAUGAAGUUAUGGGUGAGGGCUGUCCCAUGGGCGGAUUAGAAUUUAUUUAGUAGGUGAAAAUACCUACAAGAAAAACAAUAGACGAGAAGACCCUAGAAAUUUUCUAGAAAAGGCUAAUGUUGCCUUAUUAUUUUGUUGGGGCGACAGAAUAACAGUUAACUUAUUUUAAAGUAUGAGCACUAAGUGGUGAGGAAAAAUAAAUUACUCUAGGGAUAACAGCAUAAUUUGGUAAAGUUUGUGACCUCGAUGUUGGACUAGGGAUAUUAUUGACCAGAAGUCAACAAUACAAGCUCUGUUCGAGCUAAUUCCCCUAC
rnacentral:rRNA from 1 species